GUUUUCAGUUUUAUUCAGUGACUUUUAUAACUAAUCAAAGCAUAAUCCACCUAGCAGUAAGACGAGAAACUCAUCAAAGUCUCCUGCAAUCAAGGUAUCCAAUGAACAUCCUGCACUGUUAGAUGUGGCCCUAAAUCCCAACUGAAGUACUUAUUGGGUUUAACUGCUGCUUUACACAUGUAUGGGCACGGCCUACACUUUCUUUCUUUUUUUUUUCUUCCUCCAAAUGUGAAUUUGUGUUUGGAUGCAGAAAUGCUUCCACCAACUUCCUGGACUGCAAAGUCAUGGAAUAUUUAGUAGCUGUUCAUUGCUCCUUGCUUUCUGAUGCACUUAGAGCAUCUCAUAAACACCCCCAAAAUAGACCAGGAAUGUAAAGUGUAGUGAGUGGAUUUGGGUGGUUAAUCUCAAUCUCCAGUGGGAGAAGGCAUUUGGCAACUCUAAGAAAAUAACGUAGGCUAAAUGUUAGACAAAUUAAAAAGUAAGACAAAGUCCUUAUUGAGAUUGGUAGUUAUUGAUUCAUUGUGAGUCUAAGUACACAUGUUAAGCCUCUAAAGAGUCAAAAGUGCUGCUGAUGUAUUAUUGGGUUUGCAGAAGAACAAUCAGGAUGCAAGAGAGAAAGAAUUACUAUCCCAGGAAUUACAGCCUUCAGUUCUCUUCAGGCUCUGGAAGGAAUGAUGUUUAAUGACUGAGGCAGAAAUAUCAUUGUCUAUUAGAAACUUAAAGUAAGGAAUAAGAGUCUACCAACUUGAAGCCCAGCUGGAUUUCUUAUAGACAGCAGCACUGGAAAACUCGGACUUUCAAAUGAGGAAAGGAUUCACUGAAUGUAACUUAUCUAAGUUAUUGGCCAUGAACAACUUUAGCAGAAAUUGUCUUAUGAAUUACUUUGAACAUUCUACAGUUAAUAAUUUUUAAAAAGUCUUAGAGCUGCAGGAGUGUUGAGAUAUUGUUCCAGCAAAAUUUCCUACCUAAUUAAGAACCCCCACAGUUGGGCCUGCUGUGUCUUCUUGAAUUCCUUCAGCGACACAGAGCGAGCCUCGUCUUUAGCAUGAAUCCAAAGAACCAGUGAUGGCUCAAUUAAGGAUUUAGCACCAGAAGACAUGGUUCAAUUCUAAGCUCUGCCAUUUACUACAGGGAUGAAUCACUAUGUUUUAGAAAUUUUGUUAUAUAUUUUAAAAAUCUAUAAAAUCAAAUAACACUCAACAUAGACUAUAAAAAUAUAGCUG
rnacentral:lncRNA from 10 species